rnacentral:tRNA from 1 species
CCCUCGGUGGUACACACGGUUAAUGCACUUGGCUGCUAGCCAAAAGGUUGCAGGUUCGAGUCCAGCCAGAGGCA